CCUACGGGGAGCUGCAGUGGGGAAUAUUGCGCAAUGGGCGAAAGCCUGACGCAGCGACGCCGCGUGAGGGAUGAAGGUCUUCGGAUCGUAAACCUCUGUCAGCAGGGAAGAACGGUCACUGUGCUAAUCAGCAGUGAAUUGACGGUACCUGCAAAGGAAGCACCGGCUAACUCCGUGCCAGCAGCCGCGGUAAUACGGAGGGUGCGAGCGUUAAUCGGAAUUAUUGGGCGUAAAGCGCUCGUAGGCGGUAUGUCAAGUCAAGGGGGAAAUCCCCGCGCUCAACGUGGGAACUGCCUUUGAAACUGGCAAACUAGAGUGUGAGAGAGGAAAGUGGAAUUCCAGGUGUAGGAGUGAAAUGCGUAGAUAUCUGGAGGAACAUCAGUGGCGAAGGCAACUUUCUGGCUCAUAACUGACGCUGAGGAGCGAAAGCGUGGGUAGCAAACAGGAUUAGAUACCCGAGUAGUC
rnacentral:rRNA from 1 species